rnacentral:rRNA from 1 species
UACGAAGGGUGCAAGCGUUACUCGGAAUUACUGGGCGUAAAGCGUGCGUAGGUGGUUCGUUAAGUCUGUCGUGAAAGCCCCGGGCUCAACCUGGGAAUAGCGAUGGAUACUGGCGGGCUAGAGUGCGGUAGAGGAGAGUGGAAUUCCCGGUGUAGCAGUGAAAUGCGUAGAGAUCGGGAGGAACAUCAGUUGCGAAGGCGGCUCUCUGGACCAGCACUGACACUGAGGCACGAAGGCCAGGGGAGCAAACGGG